rnacentral:lncRNA from 1 species
GGCUUCGGAGUCGUAGGAACUCCGAAGUUAAGCGAGUUGGGGGCUAGAGCAAUCCCAGGAUGGGUGACCCACUGGGAAGUUGCUCGUGAGCUCCCAGAAACAAAACCGUGAGGACAGAGAAGGGGGCCCAAAGCGGACAAUAUCGUGCUACAGCGGAGCCGAUCCCGGGGUGUGACAAUUUGGUAUCAGAGCCACUCAGUCGUGUGGUGCGAGUGUGCCGACGAGGACGUCGGGCCCUUAAG